UACGUAGGGUCCGAGCGUUAAUCGGAAUUACUGGGCGUAAAGCGUGCGCAGGCGGUUUUGUAAGCCAGAUGUGAAAGCCCCGGGCUUAACCUGGGAAUUGCAUUCGAGACUGAAUAGCUAGGGUACGGUAGAGGGAAGUGGAAUUUCCGGUGUAGCGGCGAAAUGCGUAGAUAUCGGAAGGAACAUCAGUGGCGAAAGCGACUUCCUGGACCAGUACCGACGUUCAGGCACGAAAGCGUGGGGAGCAAACAGG
rnacentral:rRNA from 1 species